UACGGAGGGUGCGAGCGUUGUCCGGAAUCACUGGGCGUAAAGGGCGCGUAGGUGGUGACCUAAGCGUGCGGUGAAAGCCCGAGGCUCAACCUCGGGUCGGCCGUGCGAACUGGGUCACUGGAGCAGAAUAGAGGCAGGUGGAAUUCCGGGUGUAGCGGUGGAAUGCGUAGAGAUCCGGAAGAACACCGGUGGCGAAGGCGGCCUGCUGGGUUCUGGCUGACACUGAGGCGCGACAGCGUGGGGAGCAAACAGG
rnacentral:rRNA from 1 species